CCCCCUCUUGUUUUGGUAAUUACAACCACCCCUCUUAAAUAUUUUUACAUAAAAUUUAUGUAAUUCGGUUAUUUACCGAACCAAAUCGUAUAUUCGGUGCGGUAAACGGUAUGAAUUGUUAGUGUACCGAAACUUUAGUUUGGUUUUACCGAAUUAACAUCCCUAAAUUUACCUCUGGAGGGGUAUUUUCUGGAGAGGUAUUUUCGUAAGAUAAUACAUAAUUGAGGGGUGUGGUUGCAAUUACCCAAACAGGAGGAGAGUUUUCGUAAUUUGGUACUAAAUGAUUUCUUGUUUUUUACCUAUGUAGAUUUCAAACGAUUGCGUAUCUACAACAAAUAUGGUGGCUGCAAGUAGACGGAGACCUCGAUUUCUUCUUCCCGACAGGAACUUACAGCCUCUUCUUCCGAUUACAGCUCGGAAAAGUCGGGAAGAGGUUAUUAGGGCGGCGUGUGUAUAAUUACGAAAACGUCCAAGGUUGGGAUUUAAAGCCCGCCCAGUUUCAGCUGACGACUCAGCACGGCCAGCAUGCGGCUUCCCGUUGCAUGCUGGGCAAUUUGGGAAACUGGGUUCACUACCAUGUUGGAGAUUUUGUCGUAGAGGAUCCGAACGAGAAAACGAACGUCAAAUUCUCGUUGACCCAGAUUGACUGCACACACACUAAAGGUGGACUGUGUGUUGACUGUGUUGUGAUAUGUCCUAGUAGUGUAGGGAAAGAUAUGUUUUUUCUGUAGAUGAUUAGAAAUGCAUUAUGUAUAUAAUUUGGGACUUGUAACCCGGGUGGCUGUUAAAUCGUAAAUCGAAUUAAAAAUUGAUUUAUUAAAUUUACGAAGUGUAAACCGCAACCGAUUAUAAAUUCGUAAUUUUUUUAUAUAUAAUUUCAAAUUGGUAGAAAUAAUUAAAGAUAUUGUAUUGAAAUAAAAUUACAUGGUAUCCAUUUCAGCUUGCAUAUCUGCAGUCCGGGGAAGAGACGAGGUCUCGUUUGGCUUAAAAUAUUCGCGCAACGAAAUUACGAAAAAACCGACCUUGGAAUUAAAAUCGGAUAUUCGUUGAGGAAAAGAUCUCUUCGUAUGGAGGUGCCUGAGCAGCGAAACGAGGAGGCAUGUUAGAGUCACACAGCCCGUGAUGGCGAAAAGGACGAGGAAGCUCCGCAGCGUGACACUUGUCGGCGAGCUAUUGGUCUCCGGUUCGGAACAUUCCUUGCCAAUCGUCAUCCGUUGCUCGAUCUCGAGAAUCGUGCCGUCUUCGAUCCGCUGUAUUAUGGCUCUUGAGAUAUCUGCAACUAGUGGCGAACCCUUCGAAAAAGCCUGAAUUUUGGUACAAAGUAUACAAAAAAGUUAAAGGUUAAAAUCGUCUUUUAGAAAUACGUACACAUCCAUGUGGGUACGUGUGUGAAUUGGAGACAAAAAUAUUAUUCUUACGAAGGCGAAUCCAUCAGUACGAUGGAUAGGGCCCACGAUCAUAUACUUGCCGCAGUUUCGGGACAACAAAAGCUUAAUGUGUGGCAUCACGUCGUAAUAGGCCGACACGCCCCCGUUUUUGCUCCCCAAUGAAAGAGCCUCUUCGCAAGCUUCGGCCGAUUUGAACGUCUUGAUCUUCGCCUCGUCGAAUUUCAAAGUAGUUUUCAAGAAAUCGAAUAAAAAAGAACCCUCUUGACACCCGACGAAAUGCCCGUUCUUGGUGAGCUGCGACACGUCUGUCACCAUCGGUCGAAGCCUCGCCACUGUGAUUCUAGACGACAGGCUGGCGGUGUAAAUCGAGUUCAAAAGGCUCGCUACGAAAGCCCACGUCACGAGAAUCAAACAAAGUAAGUUUGCCUCAAUUCCUUCUCCUACACACACACACACACAAAACAAAAAAAAACCAAAGUUAUAUAAUAAGUUAUUUUAUUUAAUUUGAUCAGAUUAAGGUUAAUAAAUUUUACCAGGAAAGAAUGGGAAGUAGCAAACCAUGCCGGCAUGCUGAGCUGGCGAACCGACAUUGGUCCGAUUAGCCAAGAUCCAAAUCGCUAGGGCCGUCGAGAUAUAAAAGACUGCCAUUGUUAGCCAAAGCUCUAUAGUUAGGGGCUCCAAGAAUGUGAAAAUGUCGUUUACGUCCUCAUACUUUACGGGAACUAUGCUAGCGACCCCACCUUCGGCAUACGGAAGGGUAAAAUCGGCAUAAGUCGACCGUGUAGCCGUAAUGGUGAUAUCCCCUAAAGCACCAUCAUAAUUUUCCUAUAUAUAUGUAUAUAUGAUCACCAAGAAUUAUUAACAAAAUAUGUAUUAAGACAGAAAACAAAAUUGAGGUAUAUAUUUAUUCUAAGACUCACCUGUAAUGAAACUUCAUGCACGAGAUUGUCGUAGUUCCCCGUUUUCGAACCGUUGGAGUUAAAAAAUGGGUACGGAACGUAAUCGUACGGUACAUAGUACGGUAAACUUUUCAUUACGGCAUCGAAAACCUCUUUAUAGUAUCCAGUAACGUUGGGUGUAUUAGUCUUCGGAUCUAUCUCGACUUUCAGAAACUCGUUAAAACCGGGUUUUUUCGGCACACCAAUUCUUAGUUUCUUACCAUUGAUUACGGGAAUUUCCCAUCCUUUAGGUUCUUUCGUCGAGUCCCCGGGCCAUAUUAUACUCUUUAAAUUCUUCGAAAUUCCACUAGACGGGGCCCACGUUCCCACUUGCCUCUCGUUUCUUCCGACAACAUUAACUAUCUCGUACGAUGUUUGCUCCAAUUGUCCGUUAACGAGGCUAAACUCUCCGGCAAGUCCUGGGAACUUGAUCUUUAGUAAUGCUUCUAGAAUUUUAGGGCCCGUUUCCGAAACUUCCACCGCGAACGGGCCCGCAUGUGCCACGUCAGCUCCAUUUUUCGUUACGUGUGUUAUGUUAUUCCCAACUCUUUCGGCCGCCAUAGCAAGGGCCCAAAAAGUAUCAUAAGCCCAAAGACCGAACACACUCACUUCGGUCGGCUUGAUCAUCGUAUGAUUCUCGUUUGCCAGAAGAAACUUCCGUAACCAUCUAGAAGCGAAGGAUUCGAAUUCCUUCGAUUUCGGGAUUAAGGGCCUCACCCCGAUAACCCCUUGCAUGGCUUCAACAACUUCGGAAUCGACCAAAUUGAAUAAAUCGGUCAAUCCACUCGUAACAAUCCACACGUACCCCUCGCUCAUCAUACCUAAUUCUCGCGCUUUUAGAAACACCCGUUUUCCGAGAGAUUGCGACGUGUGUACCAAAAAUACCCUUGUCUGCAUUGCCAUCAUUUUGUAGAGCUCUUUACCUAUAAAAUCGUCCGUGGCCGAUUUAGGAAAAACACUUCGGUAAGAAACUCGAACGUGUGCAUCUUGCAACGAGUUGGAGAGGGAAGGAAUAAUCCCGUUUCCGAAUUCCGUUUCCUCGUACAUAAUAACAACUUGGGCCCACUUAAACGCUUCGACUAUUGAGACGAUAGCUUGAACUUGAGUGGCGUCGCUUUGAGCUGUCUGUACGAAGAAAGGACUUUGUGGGACCAGAGAAGGGCUCGUGGCCGAGAAGGAUAUAAUCGGAACACGAGCCCUUUCUCCGAGAUCCAUCAAAAAGUCAACCUGAGUUGACUGUUGAGGGCCGAUAAUUGCAUCCACUUUGACUUCUUGCAGCAAAUCGAGAGCUGCAAUGUCGAUCAUGUCUAUUAGUCCCGAAUAUAUUAAAAAAAGAAAAAAAAAAUCGGAAAUUUACCGGCAGCUGCAGCAUCAACGACACUAUUGUUAGAAUCUCGAAUAUGGAAAACGAGCCUGCUUUUAUAGUCGGGAUGGAGCGAAUAAAAAUCGGAACGGGCUAUCGAUAAGCAGCUCAUUCCUAUACGCCCCACCGGCGACUCCGGUGAAGCCAAAUCGAGAAUCACUCCGACAUUAAAAUCGAUUUUAUUGCUGCUUUUACUAGUACUUGAAUUUUGAGCUUUGGAAAAAUUAAGCAGAAGAAGAACAAGUGAUGUAUACAAAUGGAGUAACAAUGAAUGCAUUUCUUUCUUAGACUUGUAAGUCAAUCAUUGAAAAAAAGAAACCCUACUAUAUAUAUACAUCUAUGUAUAUAUAUGUAAGAAAUUUGAGAAAAAAACAAAUUUCAAAAUUAGGAAUUGAAUUGGUAAACCGAAGAUAGAUAUAUUCUUUCAUAAGCAAUUACAGAGAAAUUGAGUAUUAAUUGGUCCACAAUAUAUAUAUAUAUAUAUGGUCUACCAUGCAUGUAGCAUACAAACAAAAAAUGUAUUUAAUGAUGUACACAAUUGUUCGUUAGUUGGAUUUUAUCUUCAAACGUACCAAUUUACCGUGUCGAUUAGCGAUUAAUAGAGCUUAAUUUAAUUACAUCGAUCGGUAUAUACUCGGAUAUGUAAGGCAUAAAAAUUGACCAAGAAAUACGUUAAGUCUCCUACCUGAGAUAUCUUAAUUAUAUAUCCAGAUAAAAUAUUUCCAAAAAUAAAACACGAGGAAUUCGUCGUAAAUCGUACGAAAUAUCGUUGUUGAUUAAUUUAUAGAAUAAGUCAGUUAUAUUAGGGAAAUUCUUGUACUAAAUCCCAAGGUCAAGAUGAAGAAUUAAGGAAAAUAUAGUUAGGAAACUGCAGGGAAAAUGGGUUUGACAGUUACAUGGAGGGAAAUACAAGAAAAUGCAGCUCUAAAUAAUAAUAAAUAAAUAAAUAAAUAAUUGAAUUGAAUUGACAAAUAAUCAUAGUAAUAUACAUACAUGUCUUGAUCUGCAUUUAAUUUAUGGCAUAUUUUUUCCUAGAAUCUGUCAGCAUGAGACGAAAUUGUACAUAUGUUUGAAGACAUAAAAAUAAACAGAAAAUUAAUUCGGAGAUAUAUUAAGAAUAGACAAGAACUGGAUUUUUUACUUACGAGAACGAAGAAAUUAUUUUACAUGGAAUUGCAUUUCCGACGUAGAAAGUUGACACUGUGAACACCACUCUUCGCAGGUGAAUUUUUUUUUCGAAUUAUUCGAUUCAUGAAUGAUGCAAAUGGUAAGUAAUGGAAAACAUGUAUUGUCGGUUUAAGAUCUCAUAUUUUUCGAUUAUAAAAAAAGAUCGAAUUACAAGCAAAUUUUGAUUUAAAAAAAACAAUGAUUUUUCGAUUUAAAAUAUUAGAACAAUGGUUAAUUAGAUGAUGCAAACUUCACAAUAUGGUCCAGUAAAUUCAUGUGCAGUUUAUGUGCAUAUAUAUAUAUAUAUAUAUUAUUUAUUUAUUUAUUAUAAUUUUAAAUAUACCAAAAGAAGGUUGAAACCUCACUGUCAUGAAAGAAUAAGUAGCAAAUUAAAUGGAUUAUCAUUCCUCAUUGCCAAGAGUAAAAUAAAUUGCGUAUGCAAAAUUGUCACGAGUAAAAAAAUACUCUCCCCAUUCCAAAAUAUUUGUCGAUUUUAAGAAUAUAAAUUUUCCGUUUCGAAUUAUGUCACUUUAAAGAUAUAAAUUUUCCGUUUCGAAUUAUGUCACUUUAAAGAUCCAAUGAUGUAUUUAUCACACUUUUCGUGAUUUCGCUCUAUUCAUUAUUAACCAAUUGAGAGAGGUCGAGUGGAGAUGUAAUUAAAUUAAUUACAAGAAGGGAUAUUUCAGUCACUCUCAGUGUUUUUUUCCUAUAAUCUGUGCAUAUUUAUUAGUUCUCUUAAUAUGCGUGCCAUAAUUCAGAAUAAAAUAUAUAUUAGUUUUCUAAAGUAUCCACAAUAUUCACAAUAUUCACAAUAAUAAUAAUAAUAAUAAGAGUCAAGAUUAAAAGAUUAAAAUGUUAAUUGAAGUACAUUGACUAAUUAAUUUCAUAGAUUAUGAUAGAGUAGGGUAGGAAAUAAUUGGGAUUUGAAUAGAAUGGUUGAGUAAAUUAAAUGUGGUAGCCAUCAAACCACUCUUAUUGCAUGUGAAUCCAAUAGUAUGUCAUAAUAAUUCCUCAAAUUCAAGCAAUGCCAAAUCUUUAAAUAAAUGUUGGUGAAAUAUUAUAAAUAUAUAAAAAAAAGUCGUGUAUAAUAGCAUUGACGGUCCCCUCUCGUUUAAUGCAUUCAGCCCUCCGAACUUAAAAUUCUGGCUUCGCUAUGUUUGCACGUGCAUAUAGAGUUGCACUGAAGAAUUGAGUUGAGUGAUCAUGUACAAAAAGAAUCAAUGCAAAAAGUUAAAAAAAAAUAUUAAAAAAAAAAACAGUAAUAUAUCUAAAUGAUGAUAUUUAUUUGAACAAUUAAUAAUGUGUUAAGUACUUAUAUUAAUUGUGAUUUGUGCAUGUUUAACUACUCCAGCCCAUCAUAAUUAGGUUGAGCUGGACUUGGACCAAAUGAACCUACUACAGCCCAAAAAGGUCUACAUACAUAUAUAUCGUUUAUAUAUACAUUUUUUUUAAAUAGUUAUAUAAAAUAUUAAAAAGAAUAAAAAAAUCAUACAAAUCUGUUUGAAAUUCAAAAGAUUCUAAUAUGUUAGAAUAUUAACCUUAUUCAGAAUCAGAAUAUAUCUGCAACAUAAAGAACACAACCCCUUUUUGUUAUUUUAAUUUUCGAGUGAAUUAGCUGCUCACUUCUUAGAAAAAAGGUUAAAUUAUGACCCAACUAUCUGAAUUAUGAUUAAAUUAUGAAAAUCCUAUCAUAUUUGGAUAAUUACAACUAUCUCUUGAACUAUAAAUUUUCUUACACAUCUACCCUCGUAGUGUUGGAAUCUUCUAGAUUACGUGGAAUAAUCUCCAGUUUGUACCAGUUUUAUCCUAUUCAAGCUCCAUAUUUUGAAACAAGAUGAUCAUAAAUAUCAGACUGUGGCACAUCAGAAACUGCAUUUUUGCAUAAAACGAGUUCUAACUAGGAAACAUUCCACGUAACCGAAAAGAUUAUGUUGAAAUUUGACAGGGUGAACGUGUAAAAAUAUCCAUAAUUGAGGAGGGUAAUUGUAAUAAUCCAACCAUGAGGUGUUAAUUCGUAAUUUGACUUUAUCUCGUGGUUAAACCGUAAUUUAUCGUAGAAAAAAAAUGCAAUCUUUUUACAAAGUGGUAACUUGACCCCUAAAUUUCUUGAUUUUUACAUAGAAAAUUAUAUAUAUGUGUGUGGACCAAGAAGAGAUGUGUACGUGUGUGUGUGAAUGUGGGCAUUGAUCAGAAAAUGAAUGUGGGCAUUGAUCAGAAAAUGGGAGAGAAUUCCAGGAGGAUAUAUCGAAGUAGACAGUCUGUAAAUAAAAAAAUAAAUAAAAACAAUAUAAAUGAAUUAAAUAAAUAAAAUUAAACAAAUAAAAACAAAAAUCAGUACAUGCAUUUCCUUCACUUUGUAAAAAAUGGGGGUUAAAAAAUAAAAAUAAAGAGGAAGUCAAAAUUUUCACUGCCGUCACAAAAACAAAAUCUUGUGACAGAGAGAGAAAAAGUAUUUUUGUAUAGAUCAGUGUGUGUACUGUGUGUAAUCGAGAGUCAACCGACCCGACCCUUUUCUUUUUCUCUCUCUGUAAUAAUUUUAUAUUUUUUGGUGUUAUGUAUAUGUGGUCUUCGAAAACUCCACAUAGUAUUGCGGGUAUUAUCUUCACUCUCUCUCUCUAAAAGCAGCAGAAUAAAAUUCUCUCUCUUAAAUUUUGUUUUUUGUUUUUCCAGCUUUUUGGCUUUUUAGGUAGCAAGUCAAGCAUGCAGAUAUUGAGAUAACAAGUGAAGUAAAGAAAAGAAAAGAAAAAAGAAACUAGGGUUUUCAUGUUCUUGUUGUUCACAUUGGAUGGAAUAAAGAUUGGAUUUUUUUUAGUGAGAGAAAGUGGGUUUUUUUUCUUUUAGUUUAGGAAAGAGAAAGAGAGAGAGAGGGUUUGAGAACGAAGCGCAGAAGUUGCCUUCUUUCUCUUACUUUCUCUCACUACUGUAAUUAAAUUCGAUUUAAUUAAAAAAAAACAAUUUUGGAGAGGAAGCUGAGACAUUUGGAUUUUAGGCCUUGUGUCUCCUCUACCUCUCUCUCUCUCUCUAAUUUUUUUUUCCUUAAUCUGUGUGCAAAAAUCAUUGUAUUUGUAACGUUUUUUGGAACAACUAAAUCUUUGCUUUCUGACAUAUAUAUACACCACUAUCAUAUAUGUAUAUGUAUAUAUAUACAUCUCUCUUCUGAUAUAAUUGAGUCCGUGAUCCAGCAAUUUUUCUUAGUGGGGGGUUAAAAAGGAAGUUUUUUUUUCAUCCAUAGAUAUCAUUUCAUGAAUUUUGGGGAUUUUCUUGAUAACAAUUCUUGCGGCGGCGGAGGCGGUGGCGGUGGUGGUGGUGGUGGUGGUGGUGGGAGAAUCGUCGCCGGCGAUUUACCUUACAUAAACUAUAACAAAAGCAU
rnacentral:lncRNA from 1 species